rnacentral:rRNA from 1 species
AUUUCCCACAGCGUAAGCUGGUAAGACCCCUUAUAGAUGAUGAGGUGGAUAGGUUCGAGGUGGAAGCGUGGCAACACGUGGAGCUGACGAAUACUAAUCGGUCGAGGGCUUAACCAA